CCUUCUGUCAAGAGACACGAAAAACAAAACUUUCAACAACGGAUCUCUUGGUUCUCGCAUCGAUGAAGAGCGCAGCGAAAUGCGAUACCUAGUGUGAAUUGCAGCCAUCGUGAAUCAUCGAGUUCUUGAACGCACAUUGCGCCCUCCGGCAUUCCGGAGGGCAUGCCUGUUUGAGCGUCGUUUCCUUCUUGCGCAAGCAGAGUUGGGGUGGCGCGGGCCCCCCCAAAAGGAAGCGCUGCGGCUAGGUAACUAGAGUCUUUUGCCCUAGCGGCCGCGGGUGGACACCAUACUUCGACCUCAAAUCUGGCAGGAGUACCCGC
rnacentral:rRNA from 1 species